GAACCUUUUUUGGCCAAGUGAUUGUGUGAGGUAGUCUUUUAGUAUUCAGUCUUAAUUAUUUUGCAGGCAGGUUUAGUUUUCCUUUAACACAUUAUUUUCCUCAAUUUCCAAUAAAGGAAAAGUAACAUAAGAAGGAAAAAUGUACUUUGAGAUCUCCACUGUACCUCCUUUGAGCAAAAUCUCAAAACAUGACAUUUUCCAAAUACAUGUGUUUUUUUUUUCCCUUCUCUUUUCAUCAUUAGGAAUGGAGGAUCUUUGGUUCCAUACCAAUGCAGGCAUGUCAGCAGAAGGAUGUGUUUGCCAAUUACCUUACUUCUAACUUCCAAGCGCCAGGUGUGAAGUCUGGCAACAAGAGGUCUUCAUCUCACUCUAGCCCAGGUAGUCCAAAGAAGCAGAAGAAUGAAAGCAACUCAGCGGGAUCUCCCGCCGACAUGGAGCUCGAUUCAGAUAUGGAGGUACCACAUGGUUCUCAGAGCAGCGAAAGUUUUCAGUUUCAACCACCAUUACCUCCUGACACUCCUCCACUCCCCCGGGGAACUCCUCCACCCGUCUUCACCCCUCCACUCCCAAAGGGCACCCCGCCGCUGACUCCCAGUGACUCACCCCAGACCAGAACAGCAUCUGGAGCUGUGGAUGAGGACGCACUGACUCUAGAAGAACUUGAAGAACAGCAGAGGCGGAUCUGGGCAGCUCUUGAGCAGGCCGAGAGCGUAAACAGUGACUCCGACGUUCCUGUGGACACACCUUUAACUGGCAAUUCCGUUGCCUCAUCACCUUGUCCAAAUGAGCUAGACCUCCCUGUCCCGGAGGGAAAAACAUCUGAAAAGCAGACGCUGGAUGAGCCUGAGGUACCAGAGAUUUUUACAAAGAAAUCAGAAGCUGGACAUGCCUCCAGUCCAGACUCUGAGGUGACAUCACUUUGUCAGAAGGAAAAAGCAGAGUUGGCUCUGGUAAACACUGAAGGUGCCCUUCUUGAUAAUGGAAGUGUCGUACCAAACUGUGACAUCAGCAAUGGGGGCAGCCAGAAGCUCUUUCCUGCAGACACCAGUCCUUCAAUGGCCACUAAAAUUCAUAGCCCUAUACCUGACAUGAGCAAAUUUGCAACUGGAAUCACGCCAUUUGAAUUUGAGAAUAUGGCAGAAUCUACUGGAAUGUACCUCAGGAUAAGAAGCUUGUUAAAGAACUCACCCCGAAACCAGCAGAAAAACAAAAAGGCCUCUGAAUAAUGGCUUGACUUAGCACUGAGAGCUAUUUAAUAACUUUGUUCCGUUAAUUAGUACUAAUUAAGUGGAUAGAUAGAAUGGUUUUCCUGUUUGUCCCUCCCAUGUUUAAAAAUCUAUCCAAGGUUCGUGUUCCAAAGUCAAGCCUAUUUUAAAGAAAGACUGAGCUCACUAGUUCAGUGUAUUUUAUUCUCACUGACAAAACUUGGGGAGAGAUGUGAAUAUGACCUGGUUUAGAGAGGGUUUGUUAAGGUUUAUACUAUUUUUGGAUUGUGACUAUCCGUCAAGAGUGAUGGUUUUUAUCUGUCUUUUGUACAUUGUUUUCCCUUUCUACAUUUUGCUAAUUAUCCUGUAUAUAAGUUUAAUAUAUCACUUUUUAAAAGAAAAAAUUCUACCAUUUUAAAUUCAUGUUUCAACUCCUACAACCAAAUGAGAAAAAUCAGGGAUGAGCAGCUUUAUCCCAUUUGGGGUAUUUUUGUAAGUGAUUUACAUGCGUCAAUUUUAGUAAUACUUUUACUUUUUUGUAAUUUCAUUCUUCAUAUAUGCUUGCUAUACAGGUAUGUUCAUCUUUGUGUACAGAGGUUUAAUAAAUUAGUUUUCAUAUACAUAA
rnacentral:sRNA from 1 species